CCUGCAUCCUUUGUGUAAGCUUUGAAUGGGUAUGUUUUGUUCACCAUUAGCUGUUAUGCUUAACUCCAUAUCGUGGGCAGGACUAGAUAAUUCCUCAAAAGUCUUAGGCUUGAGCCCUUGGAGGAUGUAGGAGAGCUCGAAGUGCAUGCCUUGGAUGCACAUUUCAAUCGCGGAGCUCUGUGAUAUCUUUUCCUUGCAAUUCAAGCAUAACUCCCUCCAUCUUUCAAUGU